GAGGGACUUGGUGGGAGAUAAUUUAAAUCAUGAGGGUGGUUUCCCCCAUACUGUUCGCAUGGUAGUGAAUAAGUCUCAUGAGAUCUGAUGGUUUUAUCAGGGGGUUCUGCUUUUGCAUCUUCCUCAUUUUUCUCUUGCCACCACCAUGUUAAGAAGAGCCUUUUGCCUCCCACCAUGAUUCUGAGGCCUCCCCAGCCAUGCAGAACUGGAGACUUGAAAACCAG
rnacentral:lncRNA from 1 species